rnacentral:rRNA from 1 species
GAUGAACGCUGGCGGCGUGCCUAAUACAUGCAAGUCGGGCGAAUGGAUUAAGAGCUUGCUCUUAUGAAGUUAGCGGCGGACGGGUGAGUAACACGUGGGUAACCUGCCCAUAAGACUGGGAUAACUCCGGGAAACCGGGGCUAAUACCGGAUAACAUUUUGAACCGCAUGGUUCGAAAUUGAAAGGCGGCUUCGGCUGUCACUUAUGGAUGGACCCGCGUCGCAUUAGCUAGUUGGUGAGGUAACGGCUCACCAAGGCAACGAUGUGUAGCCGACCUGAGAGGGUGAUCGGCCACACUGGGACUGAGACACGGCCCAGACUCCUACGGGAGGCAGCAGUAGGGAAUCUUCCGCAAUGGACGAAAGUCUGACGGAGCAACGCCGCGUGAGUGAUGAAGGCUUUCGGGUCGUAAAACUCUGUUGUUAGGGAAGAACAAGUGCUAGUUGAAUAAGCUGGCACCUUGACCGUACCUAACCAGAAAGCCACGGCUAACUACGUGCCAGCCGCCGCCGUAA